GACGAAGGGGGCUAGCGUUGUUCGGAAUUACUGGGCGUAAAGCGCGUGUAGGCGGUUGCCAAAGUCGGGUGUGAAAGCCUUGAGCUCAACUCAAGAAUUGCACUCGAUACUUGGUGACUAGAGGACCGGAGAGGAUAGUGGAAUUCCCAGUGUAGUGGUGAAAUACGUAGAGAUUGGGAAGAACACCAGUGGCGAAGGCGGCUAUCUGGACACAUAUUGACGCUGAGGUGCGAAAGCGUGGGGAGCAAACAGG
rnacentral:rRNA from 1 species